AGUAAGGAAUAUUGGUCAAUGGACGCAAGUCUGAACCAGCCAUGCCGCGUGAAGGAUGAAGGUCCUCUGGAUUGUAAACUUCUUUUAUCUGGGACGAAAACGGGAUUUUUAUCUCAAUUGACGGUACCAGAGGAAUAAGCACCGGCUAACUCCGUGCCAGCAGCCGCGGUAAUACGGAGGGUGCGAGCGUUGUCCGGAUUUACUGGGUUUAAAGGGUGCGUAGGUGGGCUUAUAAGUCAGUGGUGAAAUCUCCGAGCUUAACUUGGAAACUGCCGUUGAUACUAUAGGUCUUGAAUUAUCUGGAGGUAAGCGGAAUAUGUCAUGUAGCGGUGAAAUGCUUAGAUAUGACAUAGAACACCAAUUGCGAAGGCAGCUUACUACAUAUAAAUUGACGCUGAGGCACGAAAGCGUGGGGAUCAAACA
rnacentral:rRNA from 1 species